GGCAGGGUGGCGCAGUGGAAGCGUGCUGGGCCCAGAACCCAGAGGUUCGUGGAUCGAAGCCACGCUCUGCUA
rfam:Ixodes scapularis strain Wikel colony gcontig_1108379441035, whole genome shotgun sequence.